AGCAUUCUGUGUUCAUGCUGAGAUUUUAUUACACACCAGACCACGAGGGCCAAUGAGACUCCCAAGAUAAGUGGAGCA
rnacentral:pre_miRNA from 1 species